GAAAAGAUGCAAGGGGCUCAGCAGUGAAGCAACCCAUGAAACUGGAUGGCUCAUUUGAAUGCAGACCAGCUGAAUGCUACAGCUUCCAUCCUCAACUUUACUCUCUGCUCUUGUCCUCUGUCCUUGAUGUGCUGCUUUCCUGCUGAACCUCUGUAUCUACUUCUUACGCCCAAUCUGUGCCAUCAGCUAAGGGUGCUCCAGUCUCUUAAUUCCAAGAAAGUAGAGGAACAUGAAUAGAAUGAAGGGCACACAGAUAUCUUGUCUUGUCUUCCCCGUUGUGGUGCCCUGCCCUUUUCCAGCACUCUCCCACCAAGUGCAGACUGGGGAGAUUAGAUGUAAAUGAAGAUAAAUCAGCCUCUGAAAUGGAUUUUUAAAGAAGUAUUCACAAGAAUGGAGUAAGUGGGAAAAGCCUUAAAUGUCAGAAAUAAACAUGUUACAUGUUUCAACACAGGAGGUAAGUAGUUUAGAACCAGGCUAUUUUAUCAUUUGCCAUUUCAAAGUUGCAAAUAGGUUAAUUGUCUCAGGAUUUUUAAAAAAUAUAUUUUAUAUUUUGGAGGAAAUCUGAAAUUUCAGUAAAGUGAUUUGCACCAAAUACUUCUUAGGUCCCUAAAAGUAUGGAGGGCAGGCUUGAUGCUCAGAAUUAAAAACGAACAUAGUCAACACUUGUACUUUGAGGACAAUAUCUCUCUCAAGAAAGUAGGAGUUUAUUUCUUGCUAAUGAAUAAUUUCUGCUGGACAUGGUAGCACACGCCUGUAACCCCAGCACUCAGGAGGCUGAGACAGAAGGAUCGCCAUGAAUUCAAGACCAGCCUAGGUUAUAUAGUGAGGUGCUGUCAAAAAAGAAAGAAAGAAAGAAAGAAAGAAAGAAAGAAAGAAAGAAAGAAAGAAAGAAAGAAAGAAAGAAAGAGAGAAAGAAAGCAAGAGAAAAGAAAGAAAGAAAAGGGAUAAAUCUUUCCACUCAUCUUUCAUUCUUCAUGUUUAAUGUCAGUUUAAAUAUCUAAAAGCUGUAGGAUCUAAGUAGUUACAUUUUUAUGGUUUUAAAAGCUACUAGGAGAAAAGAGAACAAGAAGUCACCAAGAAACAAGACUUUCCUGUGAAUUGGUACCAUGCACAAGCCAUUGGGAACAAAUGAAGGUGCCAGCAUUUUCCAAUGAGUCAUGGACUGUGAGGGAGGAGAAAAAGAAGUUACCAAGAAGUAAAUCCUCCCUGAAAAUUGGCAUGAUGCACAGGCAGCUGAGGGGAGACCUGGAUGACAGCCCCUUACAGUGUGUGGGCUGGGAAACAAGAAGAUCCAACACCCUCCGCCCCCUGCACAUAUGCCUUAAGAGACCAGCUGAUGUAGGUCUCAAGAACAGGUGGCAAUGAUAGCUAUUGGGGUGAAAUACUGCUUAAAACUUGUAGUGUUUCGUGUUUUAUUGACUGAAGGUUUAAAGCCAAUUGCCUGAUCAUCUAUGCAGAGAAUUAUAUUAUGCAAUGUAACAUCUAUGGGGGAUCUCCUUCUGAAGGUGGUGGCCAGUGUUAAUUCCCCAUUAUCUUGUUUUGAAAUCUUGUAUCAGUUUCAUUGUUUUGUUGGGUUAGGUUUUAUUCUGUUCUGUUUUGUUUGAUUUUAUUAUGUUCGAUGGCUUGGGCAGGUAUUUCAAACAUGACAAGAUAUAUUAUGGUAGUCAUUUUGGAUUUAAUAUUGUCUUGCUUUGAAGUCCUUCAUUGUAUUCAUUGUUUUGUUUCUAUUGGUUUUAUUAUGUUCUGUUUUGUUGAUUUUUACUACGUCUGAAGGUAUCUGCAGCUAUUUUGAAGACAAAAGACAUUAUGAUAACCACUGUUGAUUUCUUAUUGUCUUGAAGUCCUGUGUCACUUAUACUGGUUUGUUUUGAAUGGCUUUGUUCUGUCU